rnacentral:lncRNA from 1 species
GAUACACAAGAUGAUUCACGUUAUGUGAAGUACAUUGCAAUAACAUAUACUUCAACAAACAGAAGUCUAAAACUCUCGAAUCCACAAGUCAUUCUGAUGGUGCUCACUUUCCGGGGACGAAGUUGGUGGCGUAGGCCCAGGCGUUGUUGUUCACUGGGUCGGCAAGGUGAUCGGCGAGGUUCUCCAAGGGACCCUUUCCGGUCACAAUGGCCUGGACGAAGAACCCGAACAUGGAGAACAUGGCCAACCUACCGUUCUUGAGUUCCUUCACCUUGAGCUCAGCGAAAGCCUCUGGGUCGUCAGCGAGGCCCAAUGGGUCGAAGCUGCCACCGGGGUAAAUGGGGUCAGUGAUCUCACCGAGAGGCCCACCGGCAAUACGGUAACCCUCGACGGCGCCCAUGAGGAUGACUUGGGUGGCCCAGAUGGCGAGGAUGCUCUGAGCGUGGACGAGGCUUGGGUUUCCCAAGUAGUCGAGCCCACCCUCGCUGAAGAUCUGGGAACCAGCUUUGAACCAGACGGCCUCGCCGAAUUUCACGCCGUUGCGGGACAGGAGUUCGGGGAAGACGCAGCCCAAGGCUCCGAGCAUGGCCCACCUGGAGUGGAUGACUUCCAGCUCACGGUUCUUGGCGAAGGUUUCUGGGUCAGCGGAAAGCCCAGCAGUGUCCCAACCGUAGUCACCUGGGAACUCGCCGGUGAGGUAGGAUGGGGCCUCGCCGGAGAAUGGGCCCAAGUACUUGACACGGUCUGGGCCGUACCAUGGGCUUCCGGAGGAGGCCUGCUUGGUGACGGCCUUCCUCAUGCUGACCCUCCCGACUUCCGGGGCUGAUGGGGCAAGCUUGACGGCCUUGCCAGCCAGGGAGGGGGAUGAGAGCGCCAUGGAGGAUGCAGCAGCCAUUGUUGCAAGGAACUUGCUUUCUUCUUUUUGCUCUGUGCUUUGUGCUGUGGGAGUUGUGAAUAAUUGAGGGUGGUGGGUGGGGAUUUAUAUGGGGGAUGAAGUGGUGGAGCUCUUAUCUUGGGCUAUCUAAAGCUGCAAUCUCAUUGGGGGUUCAGAUUUUGCUGCUACACUUGGCACCCUUUCAAUCCACUAAUGGGUUAGAUUCUUCUUAUGUUCUCUCACCAAUGUGGGACUUCCACGUCUGAUUGUAGGAUUCCACUAGAUAUAAUUGCUAAUUUGUUAUUCCAUUUUGCAAGUGACUUGGAAAAUGGCUUCAACUAUGUGGCUAUGAUUUGAGUUUGUGAGAUAUUUGUGGGUCCACAUCUACUUUCUCUUGUGGCAUGGUGCAUGAGAACCACAAAUUUUGAAUGAGUGUAUGUUAG